UACGUAGGGGGCAAGCGUUGUCCGGAUUUAUUGGGCGUAAAGCGUGCGUAGACGGUAGCGUAAGUCAGAUGUGAAAGCCCCGGGCUCAACCUGGGAAUUGCAUUUGAGACUGCUCUGCUCGGGUGCGGCAGGGGAGACUGGAAUUCCUGGUGUAGCGGUGGAAUGCGCAGAUAUCAGGAGGAACACCGGUGGCGAAGGCGGGUCUCUGGGCCGUUACUGACGCUGAGGAGCGAAAGCGUGGGGAGCGAACAGG
rnacentral:rRNA from 1 species